GGGAAGUGCCCAGGACCCCACCUGACCCCAACGCCCACGGGCCAGGGACAGAGGAGAAAAACGUGGGUGGACAGAGGGAGGCAGGCUCAGGAGGAGGAGAUCGACAUCAACCUGCCCCGCCCCCUCCCCAGCCUGAUAAAGGUCCUGCGGGCCGGGACCUCCCACACCGGCCCUCCAGGAAGGAUUCAGGUUGGUGCUGAGUGCUUGGGAGGGACACCAGCCUCCACUCUGCAAGAACUCAAAAAAAGGAGACGAGGGGAUCGUGGGAAGGAGGGAGGGAGGACGGUGCCACUGAUCUCCUGCACCCCUCCCUCUGCCUCCAGAGUGCCCCUCCGGCCCCGCCAUGAGGCUCUUCCUGUCGCUCCCGGUCCUGGUGGUGGUUCUGUCGAUGGUCUUGGAAGGUUCGCCCAGGCUGUUCGGCAGGCGCCAAAUCUGCCCAGGAGAGCCCUAGCAACCGAUGACGUAUUGACGCCCACACCUCUGGGAUUGGCUGUCCUGCUUCUACAGCCUUGAAAGUGGGUAAGCGGGAUGGGGGGCUCUGGGAGGGGUUAGUGCUGAGUAAGGCAAUUCCCAGCGGCUUGAGCCCCACGCGGUCAUUCCAGUAUCCUCCCCAUUCUAACCACAUGAUCCCCAAAGAUCUCCUUAUCCAUCCCGGGAUCCCAUCCUAAGGGGGUUCCAAUAACAAAUUUUUGGCCGGGCAGGGUGGCUCACGCCUGUAACCCUAGCACUUUGGAAGGCCGAGGCGGGCAGAUCACUUGAGGUCAGGAGUUCGAAACCAGCCUGGCCCACAUGGUGAACUUCCGUCUCUAGUAAAAAUACAAAAAAUUAGCCCGGUAUGGAUGCACGCACCUGUAGUCCCAGUUACUCGGUAGGCUGAGGCAGGAGAAUCACUUGAACCCGGGAGGAAGAGGUUGCAGUGAGCCGAGAUUAUACCACUGCACUCCAGCCUGGCAGACACAGCAAGACUCUGUCUCAAAAAAAAAAAAAAAAAAAAAAAAAAAAUAAAAAAAAAAUUAGCCGGACGUGGUAGUGCACACCUGUAAUCCCAGCUACUUGGAAGGCUGAAGCAGGAGAACUACUUGAACCCGGAAGGUGGUGGUUGUAGUGAGCCAAGAUCGCACCACUGCACUCCAGCUUGGGCU
ensembl:lincRNA